rnacentral:miRNA from 1 species
AUAAAGCUAGAUUCACCAAAG